GAUGAACGCUGGCGGCGUGCCUAAUACAUGCAAGUCGAGCGAACAGACGAGGAGCUUGCUCCUCUGACGUUAGCGGCGGACGGGUGAGUCACACGAGGAUAACCUACCUAUAAGACUGGGAUAACUUCGGGAAACCGGAUCUAAUACCGGAUAAUAUAUUGAACCGCAUGGUUCAUUAGUGAAAGACGGUUUUGCUGUCCCUAAUAGAUGGAUCCGGGUCGGAUUAGCUAGUUGGUACGGUAACGGCUUACCAAGGCAACGAUGCGUAGCCGACCUGAGAGGGUGAUCAGCCACACUGGAACUGAGACACGGUCCAGACUCCUACGGGAGGCAGCAGUAGGGAAUCUUCCGCAAUGGGCGAAAGCCUGACGGAGCAACGCCGCGUGAGUGAUGAAGGUCUUCGGAUCGUAAAGCUCUUUUAGUAGGGAAGAAGGAAUGUAUAUUUAUCUAUGCACGUCUUGACGGUACCUAAACAAAAAGCCACGGCUAACUUCGUG
rnacentral:rRNA from 1 species